UCGAGAAUCUUUGGCAAUGGGCGAAAGCCUGACCAAGCAAUGCCGCGUGCGGGAUGAAGGCCUUCGGGUUGUAAACCGCUGUCAGAGGGGAUGAAACUUCGGUUGACAGAGCCUCAGAGGAAGCACGGGCUAAGUACGUGCCAGCAGCCGCGGUAACACGUACUGUGCGAACGUUAUUCGGAAUCACUGGGCUUAAAGGGUGCGUAGGCGGCGUGCCAAGUCAGGUGUGAAAUCCCACGGCUCAACCGUGGAACGGCGCUUGAAACUGGUAUGCUUGAGUGAGACAGGGGUGUCUGGAACUUCUCGUGGAGCGGUGAAAUGUGUUGAUAUGAGAAGGAACACCGGUGGCGAAAGCGAGACACUGGGUCUUAACUGACGCUGAGGCACGAAAGCCAGGGGAGCGAACGGGAUUAGAUACCCCCGUAGUCC
rnacentral:rRNA from 1 species